rnacentral:rRNA from 1 species
AACGAACGCUGGCGGCAUGCCUAACACAUGCAAGUCGAACGAGACCUUCGGGUCUAGUGGCGCACGGGUGCGUAACGCGUGGGAACCUGCCCUUAGGUUCGGAAUAACUCCCCGAAAGGGGUGCUAAUACCGGAUAAUGUCUUCGGACCAAAGAUUUAUCGCCUUUGGAUGGGCCCGCGUUGGAUUAGCUAGUUGGUAGGGUAAAAGCCUACCAAGGCGACGAUCCAUAGCUGGUCUGAGAGGAUGAUCAGCCACACUGGGACUGAGACACGGCCCAGACUCCUACGGGAGGCAGCAGUGGGGAAUAUUGGACAAUGGGCGAAAGCCUGAUGCAGCAAUGCCGUGUGAGUGAUGAAGGCCUUAGGGUUGUAAAGCUCUUUUACCCGGGAUGAUAAUGACGGUACCGGGAGAAUAAGCUCCGGCUAACUCCGUG